AAUUUUGGACAAUGGGGGAAACCCUGAUCCAGCCAUCCCGCGUGUAUGAUGAAGGCCUNCGGGUUNUNAAGUACUUUUGGCAGCGNCGAAAAGGUAUCCCCUAAUACGGGAUACUGCUGACGGUAUCUGCAGAAUAAGCACCGGCUAACUACGUGCCAGCAGCCGCGGUAAUACGUAGGGUGCAAGCGUUAAUCGGAAUUACUGGGCGUAAAGCGUGCGCAGGCGGUUCGGAAAGAAGGAUGUGAAAUCCCAGGGCUCAACCUUGGAACUGCAUUCUUAACUACCGAACUAGAGUAUGUCAGAGGGGGGUAGAAUUCCGCGUGUAGCAGUGAAAUGCGUAGAUAUGCGGAGGAAUACCGAUGGCGAAGGCAGCCCCCUGGGAUAAUACUGACGCUCAGACACGAAAGCGUGGGGAGCAAACAGG
rnacentral:rRNA from 1 species